rnacentral:lncRNA from 1 species
GGAAAACAUGCAGAGGAAAUGGCCCCACAGCAUUGGCUGAGUGUUUAUGUCGUCCAACCGAGUCUCCAUCGAACUGUUGUGGUGUUGCUGACUUGCCCUAGGUCACCUGAGUUAAAAGGGUUGCAUUCCCUUUCCAGCAUGGUCCAUGGAAAACAUGCAGAGGAAAUGGCCUCACAGCAUUGGCUGAGUGUUUAUGUCGUCCAACCGAGUCUCCAUCGAACUUUUCUGGUGUUGCUGACUUGCCCUAGGUCACCUGAGUUAAAAGAUGUAAGCAAUAAAGCUUUGCCGCAGAAGAUUCUGGUCUGUGGUGUUCUUCCUGGCCGGUUGUGAGAACGCGUCUAAUAACAAUUGGUGCCGAAUUCCGGGACGAGAAAAAAACUCGGGACUGGCGCAAGGAAGAUCCCUCAUUCCAGAACCAGAACUGCGGGUCGCGGUAAUAAAGGUUCCCGUAAAACAGACUGUUAAGAAGGAUUCAACUGUAUGAAUUCAGAACUUUUCAGCUGGGGAACGAGAGUACCAGUGAGUACAGCUUUACGAGGUAAGUCUGAUCUUGAACUUUCUAAGGAAAUUCAAGACAGUCUAUCAGAAGUAAAGUGGAAUAUGUUUGGCCUUGAAUUUUUUCUAAUGUUAGGAGCCCUUUUGUUCCUUUUCACAUGUUAUCAAGUGGUUAAGAUAGGGCGGAUUCUAGAUGAAAUUCAGGACAAGCUAUCAGAAGUAAAGCGGGGA